GCUUAAAGCGUCACUUCCGGCGAGUUGCAGGAGGCGGGAGAGUGAGGGGAAGGCUGGAAGACGAGUCAUCAGAGUGUGGACCUGCUACACCCUACUAAAUCCUACUUGAAAGCAGAAUCUGUACAGAUGUUCUGGAGUUCUUAUCAGGUGCCAGGUGUUCUUCAUGCUUCUGGGUGUAGGAUUGCCACUACCCUCAAAGAGUUCCAGUCUAAGCUUGCAGAAUGUUUCCUCAGUGAGAGGAAGGCUGUUGCACAAUGGCAGUGUUUGAUACUCCUCAAGAGGCUUUUAGCAUCCUACGCCCAGUCUGUGUUCAACUCACAAAGACCCAGACAGUGGAGAAUGUGGAACAUCUGCAGACACAGUUACAAGCUGUGAGUGACGCUGCCCUUCAGGAACUUCAGCAGUACAUCCUCUUCCCUUUACGAUUUACCUUGAAGACCCCAGGCCCCAAACGAGAGCGCUUAGUCCAGAGUGUAGUGGAAUGCCUCACAUUUGUCCUCUCUUCAACAUGUGUGAAAGAGCAAGAGCUUCUUCAGGAACUCUUUUCAGAGCUUUCUACCUGUUUGUAUUCACCCAACUCCCAGAAACCUGCUGCUGUGUCAGAGGAGUUGAAAUUGGCUGUGAUCCAGGGACUUAACACCUUGAUGCACUCAGCUUAUGGUGACAUCAUUCUGGCAUUUUAUGAGCCCUCCAUUCUGCCUCGUUUAGGAUUUGCUGUGUCUUUAUUGUUAGGCUUGGCAGAACAGGAGAAAUCAAAGCAAAUUAAAAUUGCUGCCUUAAAAUGUUUACAGGUUCUGCUCUUUCAGUGUGAUUGUCAGGACCAUUCUAGGUCCUUGGAUGAGCUUGAGCAACGGCAGCUGGGGGAUUUGUUUGCUUCUUUUUUACCUGGAAUCUCAACUGCAUUGACCAGGGUUAUCACAGGAGACUUUAAACAAGGCCACAACAUUGUGGUAUGUUCCCUGAAGAUCUUUUACAAGACAGUGGGCUUUGUUAUGGCUGAUGAGCAGCUCAGAAGAAUCUCAAAGGUCCAAGCAAAGCAAGCAAAGCCUGCAGUUGAGCAUAGAAUUGCAGAGCUGAUGAUUCACAGAGAAGGAGAUUGGAUAAAAAAUACUGGCGAGAAGUUGAUGAUCCUUAUUAAAAAGAUAAUUGAGUGUGUUUCAGUUCACCCACACUGGAAGGUGAGGCUAGAGCUAGUAGACCUUGUGGAGGCCCUUCUUUUGAAGUGCAAUCAAUCACUGGUUGAUUCUGCUGGUCCCCUCCUGAAGGCUUUAGUGAGCCUCAUAAAUGACGAGAGUCCUGAAGUCCAAGCCCAGUGCAAUAAUGUUCUGAGGCAUUUUGCAGGUCAAAAAGUAGUAGUGGGCAACAGAGCCUUUACUGACAUCUUGUCAGAAAGCCUGCAUUCCCUUGCCACAUCUCUUCCCCGCCUAAUGAACUCCCAAGAUGAUCAGGGCAAAUUCUCUACUCUGUCCUUGUUACUUGGUUAUCUGAAACUCUUGGGCCCCAAGAUAAACUUUGUCCUCAACUCUGUGGCCCAUCUCCAGCGACUUUCCAAAGCACUCAUCCAAGUUCUAGAACUAGAUGUUGCUGACGUAAAAAUUGUUGAAGAGCGGAGUUGGAACUCUGAUGACCUGAGUGCUUCUCCAAAGAUCCCCACUACAUGGCAAGGAAACCAAGUCCAGAGAAGAUAUUUCCGCUUCUUCACAGAUGAGAGAGUUUUUCUGCUCUUGCGAAAAGUUUGUCGGCUUCUUGGUUAUUAUGGGAACCUUUAUUUGCUUGUGGAUCACUUUAUGGAACUGUACCAUGAGUCUGUGGUUUACCGGAAGCAAGCUGCCAUGAUCCUUAAUGAAUUGGUUACAGGGGCUGCUGAGCUGGAAGUAGAGGAACUUCAAGAAAAGCAUACUAAAAUAAGCCUGGAGGAACUGAGAGAGGUUGUUACAUCUAUACUUGAAGUAUACACGAGCCAAGAAAACUGGUAUUUGGUUACCUCUAUUGAAACCGAGGGGGAAGAGGAGCUAAUGAAACAGUCAGACCUCCAGGCCAUCACAUCUGGUGUACACAUCUGCCAAAUUAUAUCUUUUCCAGCCUUCUCGAAGCCAAGUCCCACUAUUUGCUCCAUGAACAGCAACAUCUGGCAAAUAUGCAUCCAGUUGGAAGGGAUUAGCCAGUUUGCAUAUGCACUAGGAAAAGACUUUCGUUUGCUCUUGAUGUCAGCCCUCUAUCCUGUACUAGAGAAGGCUGGAGACCAAACCCUGCUCAUUAGUCAGGUGGCUACCAGAACCAUGGUAGAUAUUUAUCUUGCUUGUAACUAUGACUCCUUGCAGGACCUGAUCAAUCAAAAUUCAGACUAUUUGGUGAAUGGCAUCUCCUUAAAUCUUCGUCAUCUAUCUCUGCACCCUCAUACCUCAAAGGUUUUGGAAGUCAUGCUGCGGAACUCAGAUGCUAGUCUGCUUCCUUUGGUGGCAGAUGUGGUUCAAGAUGUCUUGGCCACCCUGGACCAGUUUUAUGACAAGAGAACUGCUUCCUUUAUCAGCGUUCUGCAUGCCCUGCUGGUAGCAUUAGCCCAGUGGUUCCCAGAAACAAGUUACAUCGGGCAACCCCAAAAUCAAAGUUUAAAGGAGGAGGGAAGUUAUUUGCACCAAACUCUUCAGAAUAACACUACAGCUGAAGACAUUGAACAGUUUGUGCUGGACUACCUCAAACAGAAGGAUGUGGCAGAGGGAAAUGUCUUGGGUUUUGACAGUGAUGAAGAGGAGCUGUCCGUGCCUCCAAAGUUGGAGGAAAGUGACACUCUUCCAGAUAUGGAACCACCACUGCCGGUGCAGAUCCAGAUAGCCAAGGACGUGAUGGAGCGCUGCAUCCACUUGUUGUCAGAUAAAAAUCUGAAGAUCCGAUUGAAGGUCUUAGAUGUGCUUGGUUUAUGUGUGAUUGUUCUGCAGUCAUAUAAGAACCAGCUGCUUCCCUUGGUUCAUCGGGCCUGGCCCUCAUUCGUGCACCGACUUACAAAUGAUGACCCCCUGGCAGUGCUCAGAGCCUUCAAGGUUUUGUGCACUCUGGGAGGCAAGUGUGGUGAUUUUCUUCGGAACCGGUUCUGCAAAGAUGUCCUGCCGAAGCUGGCUGGCUCCUUAGUUACCCAGGCUCCCAUCAGUGCCAGGGCUGGACCAGUUUACUCGCACACUCUAGCCUUCAAGUUGCAGCUGGCUGUCUUGCAGGGUCUGGGCCCGCUCUGUGAGAGACUGGACUUAGGUGAGGGUGACCUGAAUAAAGUGGCUGAUGCCUGCUUGAUUUACCUCAGCACCAAACAGCCCGUGAAAUUACAAGAGGCUGCCAGGAGAUCUCAUCAUGUUGCUUAGGCCAGUCUCCUGGACUCAAGGAACCCUGCUGCAUCAGCCUCCCAAUAGACUAAGACUAUUGUGCCUAGAUUGGAAGACAUCCAUCUUAUUCCUAAAACGCUCCUUAGAGAUGCACACAAAAGAAACUUUAAACAAAGUGAGAGAGAAUACCAGGGAAGGGAGUGUUGAGACGUUGAGAGACACAAAGACAUCACUCUGAAUAUGUACUCAGGAGUGGAAUCACCGAAGUUGGCGUGCCUCUCUGCUCAGCACUCCAGCGAAGGGCCUGCCCUCCUUCCAAAGCAGCUGCCCUGCUCUCACCCGCAGCAGUGUGUCCCCCUGCUCGCCAGGACUUCUCAUUGGAGCCCUCCCAGUGUGUGUGAGGUGGCGCCUCACUGGGGUUUGGACCGUUUCCCUGGGGGCAUCCCUGUCACACAGAGAAGGGAAGUCAGGCGGGAGGUAAGAAGAGGAAGUGCCUGAGGCCGUGCAGCCAGGAUGGGCAGGGAUGGACUCUGUCCUGGGCACUGUCAUCUGCCCCAUCUGCCUUCCCAGGGGCACAAAGGAAAUCCCUCCAAAUCCUUCCAGGGAAGAGGGAGGAUGGAGAGGAGACACAGGCCUGGGACGGCUCAGAUGAGACCCCGUGGAAGCCCAGAAUUUCGCUUUCACUUAGCUCCCAGUGCGGAGCUGGUGCUCAGGAUGGUGAGCGCUGUUAUCACCUCAGCAUGAGCUGGGUCCUCCCAGGCCUUCCCAGAUGGACCUGGGCCAUCUUGCCCUUGGACAUUUCUGGAGGGCUUCCAUAUCCAUUGAAUAAAGGCUCCCGCUGGCCUGUGAGGACCAUGGUCAGACCAGGCAACCCUGAAUACGUGAAUUCUGCAACAGGUCUGGGCCCUGCCUGCCUCAUAGCCUGGCUUAUUUGCAUCUCCAUCUACUCAUCCAUCCUCCACUCACCCUUCUCUGACUUGGUGUCCUCAUCUGAAAACUGAGGGUGCAACGCCCACCUUGGGGCUGCUGGGGUGUUGUCCUGUGCUGGGAUCAUGGCCAUGGGAACCAUCACUGCGUUUGGUCCCAGCCCCUGAACAGUGAUGCUGCUGGCUUCUGCAGGUGCACGGAGGGGGCACCAGCUGGCUCCAGCAGAGUCUCAGCAGGACUUUGGCAGAUGGGACUUUCAGCUGGGAUGAGCCAAGGGGAGUCCAGAGCCCGGGCAUGGGGGGAGGAGACACAGGGGGUCCAGUUCUGCCAGAACAGAACAAACAGUCUUUGGGGCCGGGGAAGUCUGAGUUCAACAGCUGUGUGACCCUGGGCAAACUACUCAGCCUCCCUGAUCCUGUUUCCUCAGCCAUAGCUAGUGGCUGGUGAUAUCUGCUCUAGGGACCGGAGGCACUAAAGCACCUGUACCUCUGCCCUGGAAAUCACCCCUAGAAGAUCAUGUUCAUGUGGACCAGAGACAGGGAUGAAGAUGCUCGCAGCAGUGCUCCAGCCCUGCCAGCUCCCCUGCUCUGCAGACAGCAGCCCCUGCUUACUGGGGCAGAGAAGCGCGGACCUCUGCCUGCAUUGGCUCGGACCAGCCAAGCUUCCCCGCUCCCUGGGCCUGCAGCUGGGCUCCCAG